rnacentral:misc_RNA from 1 species
AAGUCGUAACAAGGUUUCCGUAGGUGAACCUGCGGAAGGAUCAUUACCAAAUUUUAUAAUUACCACUUGUGAACCCGAAUUAGAGAUAUUAUGUGUAUAUGUGCGAAUUUGAUCAUUUUAUUAUGGUUAAUGAGUAUUAUAUGCGUGAUGUGUUUGAUUCAAAAAUAAAAAACUAUAUUCAUUAUUUGUCUAAAUUAUUUUAUUAAUAAAAAACAACUUUUAACAAUGGAUCUCUUGGCUCUC